GUAAAUGUUUCUUCAUCUUGAAAAAAUAUAAAAAUUGCAUGUCUUGUACAAUUCACUACUGGAAAUUUUCAGUUUUUCAACCACCUAUUACGAUAAAAAAUAUAAUGGUCAAAAUUUCCUACCACCUUUUACUUUGUUGUCCGUAUUUUUGACCACGCUUGAAGGAUGGUUGGAAAAACUUUUUAGCCAUAUGAAACUGUUUAAAUUAGCCUUUUUGUUUCCGACCACCAAAACUGGUAGAUGACUUGUGGGGUUAAUGACUGAAAUGUGAAGGAAAAUAGAGGACUAACAAAAAUAGGAAGAUUUUAAAACUUGGACAAAAAUAGAAAAAGUGUGUUUGGGUGAUGCAUUUCAGUGUCAGAAACGCAUCUCCCAAAUGCGUUUGUUUUUACUUGCGUCUCAUGUAUUUUUUACUUGCGUCUAAUGUAUUUUUUUUUUAAAGAGCGUCGAGCUGGUGACCAGUCGCCUUCUCCUCAAGUCGCCUUCCCCGGCAACCAAUUUUUUUUUCUAUGAGACGCAAGUGGCACUUGGGUCUCUGGUUAACGUGCGAAAAAAAAAAAGAAAAACAAACGCAUUUAGGAGAUGCGUUUCUGACACUGAAACGCAUCUCCCAAAUGCACUUUUCUUAUUUUUGUCCACUUUUUAAAAUUUUCUUAUUUUUGCCCAUGCAUGAGAAAAGUAUCACAUUUCAGUCUUUAACCCUCAUUUGCGCCCCUUGCCUUUCCCACUCCUCACCUCAAACUCUCCUGUGUCUCAACGACUCCAUGACUCCACCCAACGUAACCAUCAUCUCCGGUGAUUGCCGUUCAAGAGUCAAGACAGGCGACAACUACUCGGUCUCUUGCUCUCCGCCUCUCUGCCGCUCACAGCAUUGUCUCCGCCUUUUCGCUCCUCACCCUCUGACCCUCUCCAUCCCUCUGCCUCUCUAGAAACCCUAGAUCUGCUUUCGAGACUUCGAGUUUGUAGUCUUCUUCGGUGAUCGUCUCUGGCCAUGAAAAUGUAACAGACUAUAGAGUUCUUGAGGGAAAUUGAUAUUCUGUCAAAGCUUCAUUACCCGAAUGUGGUGGGUGUAGUAUAAGAUGGAAUAGGUGGAAUGCUUGCUACUAUUACUGAGUAUGUAUAUGGUGGAUGGUUCUCUAAGGCAUGUUCUACUUCGCAAAGAUUGGUUGAUGUGUUCUCCUUUAGUAUUGUCUUAUGGGAGGUUCGUUCUCACUGGAGAGGAGCCUUAUGACAACAUGCAUUACGAUGCAAUCAUAGGAGGCAUAGUGAGCAACACAUUAAGGCCAAGUAUUCAAAGUUACUAUGAUCCAGAGUGGAGAAACUUAAUGGACCAGUGUUGGGCUCCAAAUCAGAUGGGUUUUUAAAUUUUCAACUAUAUAUUGAUGAAUUCUCUUCGAGCAUAGAAAAUGUGUAUAUGUUUGCAGAUAUCUUACCAAUUUGUGACAUUUUAUUUUUUAUUUUUUUUCAUUUCACUACAGAGGCAAUCCCCGUUGUAGUGAAAGUAAUUUUAUUUUCCUAGGUAAUACCUCUCCGACCACCAAAAGCGUGGUCAGAAAAUCUCACGGCUAUAAUAUUUAUUGGUGACCGUUUUCGACCACCGAUGGCCAGAAAUUAUGUAUCUCUAACUUUCUUUCCCAACAAAAAUUUCCGACCACUUUGUAAUAGCAGACGUUAUUUCUAACCACUUCAUGCAAUGGUCGGAAAUAGUGACAGAGGUUUUUAUAGAUAUCCCAAGUGGUAGGAAAUGUGAUCGGAACAACUGUUUUGACAAAAAAUUGCCAGUUUCUAACCACUUUAUAUAUGGUGAUCAAAAUAUUUGACAUUUC